AUUGAACGCUGGCGGAAUGCUUUACACAUGCAAGUCGAACGGCAGCACGGACUUCGGUCUGGUGGCGAGUGGCGAACGGGUGAGUAAUGUAUCGGAACGUGCCCAGUCGUGGGGGAUAACGUAGUGAAAAUUACGCUAAUACCGCAUACGAUCUAUGGAUGAAAGCGGGGGAUCGCAAGACCUCGCGCGAUUGGAGCGGCCGAUAGCAGAUUAGGUAGUUGGUGGAGUAAAGGACCACCAAGCCAACGAUCUGUAGCUGGUCUGAGAGGACGACCAGCCACACUGUGACUGUGACACGGUCCAGACUCCUACGAGAGGCAGCAGUGGGGAAUUUUGGACAAUGGGCGAAAGCCUGAUUCAGCCAUUCCGCGUGCAGGAUGAAGGCCCUCGGGUUGUAAACUGCUUUUGUACAGAACGAAAAGGUUUCUACUAAUACUAGGAGCUCAUGACGGUACUGUAAGAAUAAGCACCGGCUAACUACGUGCCAGCCGCCGCGGUAA
rnacentral:rRNA from 1 species